rnacentral:lncRNA from 1 species
CAGGGGCAGGGCUUGGCCCUGGGUCCCAGGACUCCCAGCCCCGGAUCAUUCCUCAGCAUCCUCCUAUACUUUCCCCCCUGGAAGGAAGUUGGCCUCACAUACCCUGACUGACCCUUCCUGGCCUGCUUUUUGCCGGAGCCCUUGAGACUGGCUGAGGACUGGUUGCCAUAGAGAUGGUGGGGAGGGCAGUUCCAAGGCCGGCAGAUGGGGGUGGGGGAUGGGGCAGGACACCAACAUGCGAAACACCCACCAACAGCUGAUCAGCACUACUUCGGGGAGACCAGGGCGGGACACGCGGCUCCAGGCUCCAGUGACGACCACAGGGCUGCUCAAGUUUCUGUCGGACAUCCCCCAGGCUGAGCAGGUGAGGGAGGCCCUGUGGGAGGACUUCCAACUGCCUGGAGGCAGGCUGGCUGCCUGGGGUCCACAUAGGCCAGGGCUGAGGGAGGCCCUGGAGAAGCCAUGAGAUUGAGCUGAGGCCCAGGUGAGAGACGGGGGGCGGGGGGGGGGUAAGGGGACAGGGACCCUAGGGAGGCCUAAGUCGUCCAGGGUGAAGAUGAGGAAGACACCCAGCGAUGACUCCCAGCCUUCUGGUGGAGUGAUUUGGGGAACACUGCAGGAGGAGGAGGGUUUUGGGAAAGAUCAUGAGUUUCCUCCACCUUGACUCCGCAAGUCCAGGACCCCAUGGGGCCAUUCAGAAGAGCUGCCCGGGGCCCAGAGGCGGCACUGCACGUGGUGACAGAUCUGGGCUCUGGGGACAGACUCAACAUGAUCAAGUCCUGGCUCCGCUUACCCGCUGGGUGACCUAAGUCAAGUGAUUUCCCCUCUCUGAGGCUGAGUGUUCUCAUCUGCAGGAUGGGGGUAACAGUGGAAUAUAGGGUCCUCGGGAAGGUUAAAUGAGUUACUGAGAGACAAUUCUGAGCAUCUGGCAGGUACUCAGUAAGGAGCAGUGGUUGCUAUUUGAAUACUAAACACUGAGAUGGUGAUCAGUCGGUUAUACUGGUAACAAGAGUCCAGGGGGCGCCUGGGUGGCUCCGUCGUUUAAGCGUCCAACUUCGGCUCAGGUCAUGAUCUCGUGGUUUGUGAGGUGGUCCAGGAGCCUGCUUGGAGCUGGGCCUCCUCUCCUGUCUUCACUCAGGGGAGGCCUGGGAGCGGUGAUGGUGUAAUUCAGGGCCGGCAGCCGAGGUCUCGGAGUGCUGGGCAGACGGCAAAGAAGGACCGGAGACCCAAGGCCCGGAACAAGAAAGGGCAUAGCCCUGCUGAGGCUGAAGAGUAAGCAGCUGUGCGACCGGCUGGGUGGGAUGUUGGGUGUCAGGCCCCGUGGGGGGGCCGGCAUCCUGACCUUCACCCCUGCUCCCUGUCCUUUCCUUCCUCAGUCUCAUCCCUUCUGCUCCUCGGAAACCCUCCUUUCCCUUCCAGUGGGCCUGGGAGAGCUUCCUCACUGAUGGUCGGGCCCUGCUUCAGCCUGGCCACCAAGCCCCGCCCUUGCCCCGAGCCGUCACCCAGCACAAGGCCAGGCUCAAGUCCACAGCCACCCUCCCAGAUGCCCACAGCUUCUGCUGGAAGACAGAGGUGCCAAACCUGGAGAGGAGCCAGCAGCUCAGGGCCUGGGACGGCAUCCCUACCCCUUGUGGCAAAGGGGGGAGCCAGGAACUGGAGGCCCCCAGUGAGUGUGACCUCCAGCCACCUGGGAAGAGGUCAGGCCCAGGAUCAGAGUCUGAGGAGGGCGCUGAGCCGGAAGCCCUGGGUGCUGAGGAGGUCGAGAAGGGUAUGAGCCCUGGUGAACUGUCCCAGCUCCUCAAGAGGGGGUCGAUCUGGGAAGAGGAGCGGUUUGCAGGGGUGACAGAGGAAGCUGAGGAAGGGGAGCACAGGGCCCCCCAUAGAAGGAGGGCUGGUUCGCAGAGAAAGGGGCAGAACUCUGGCGAGGAGGCCUUGGAUGAGGGUGACCUACAGCGCAAGGCGAGCAGCUCCAACCUUCGAGGGCCGCAGACGAGGAAGUCAAGGGCCAAGGAGCUGGAGAAGCUGCAGAGGCAGUUACACCAAGAGUUGGACUGCGGUGAGUGUGGACUUCAACGUUUGGGUCCCCCAGGAAACUACACAGCGGGGAGACAGGUUGGGGAGCCGGCACCCUGGGCCAGCAGUUCAGACAGGGCUGUGCUGUGCUCCACAUACUAGGCAGGAUCACCCGAUGGGCUGGGAGGGGGGCUACUCUCUAACUUGUCCCGUUGUGGACAGGCCCUGAAAAGCAGCCCUGGAAGGCUUUGCGGGCUGCUGUGCAGGCCUCCAACCGGAGUGGGAAGACCUAUGCCUUGGGAGAUGAAGAGACUUUCCAGUUUGCCAACUUUCCUAACCGUACCUUCCACAAACGACAGGAGGCCACCAGGUAAGGUGGAAGAAAAAGGAGGAUGGGAAGAAAGGACAGGAAGUAGAGAAGGAGCCAGUUCUCUAGAGACAUUGAAUCAUUCAUCGUCUCAUUCAUUCCUUCAUUUAUCCAUUCUCCAAUCUUCUGAUCAUCCAAUCUUCUAUGGAUCUAUCCACCCACCCACCUGUCCUCCCUCCCAUCCAUCCAUCCACCCACCCACCCAUCCACCCACCCGUCCUCUCUCCCCUCCAUCCAUCCAUCCAUCCAUCCACCCACCCCCCACCCGUCCUCCCUCCCAUCCAUCCCACCCAUCCAUCCAUCUCUGUCUUCUUGGCCAGCUAUCUAUCGACACAAGCUACUUUUCAUUCAUUUCCCAUCUUCUAUCCAUCAAUUAAUCUAUUAACUAAGUGAUUAAUGCAACAUAUAUUGAGUAUCUACUCAUGGGUCCUCAGGAUGUAAAGAUAAAAAGACUUGGUCCUAGCCCUGAGAAGCUCAAGGUCUGUUGGAAAAGGAGACGGAUGGGCAAGACAGCAAUGAGGGCAGUAGAGUUAGACAAUCGCUAUACUUGGGGCUUAAACAAAGGACAAUGGGAACAGAGGGGGAAAGCCUGGAAAGGGGGCACUGUUGCAUUGUCUAGGUGAGGGAUGAUAAGGGCAUAAACCAGGUGGUCAUGUGAAUGGAGACGGGGGGAUCCAUUUAAGAGAUAUUUGGGGGCUGGCUCAGCAGGUCUUGGUGACUGGUUAGAAGUGGCAGGUGAGAAUCCACUCAGCACUCUAAAAGCACCCUCCAAUUCUUACUAUCAUCCCCUGCUUGCUUCCCAUGCUUCCCAGUGUGCUUAGGACAAAGCCCAGAUUUCUUGGUAAGGAGGCUCCUGUCUCCCAUGCCAGCCAGUCAGAGUGCUAGAAUGCCCCAUGCUCUCCCUCCCUUCUCUACCGGGACUGCCCCUCUUCCUCAUUCACCUAGGUAACUCGGAUGCAUCUUUCAACUUCCAAGUCAGGCGCCCUCUAGGAAGCUCUCCCCUGUGCUUGCCUCCACCAUAGCUUUUGCCACGCGGCAUUGCAUUGGGGUCCUGGGGUACCUGUCUAUCCCCGUGUACAGAGCUCCCUGAGGACAGGUACCAGAUCUUAUUGAUCAUGGCCUCUCUGGUGCCCCUACACAGGACCUGGCACCAGCUGGUGCUCAAUAAAUACGUGCUGAGUGAGCGACCGCAUCUUCCCUUUUAUUAGUCCAACCAUGAUUGAAUUAUGCAUGAAGUCACCAACACUGAGUUUCUAGUUAGGUUAAGAACUGUCCUAGGUGCUGGGGAGACACUGGUGGUGAAGAGGAGAGAUAAGGAACCCUGCUCUCGUGAGGCUUACGUUCUCCUUGGGAAGAAGGAUAAUUAAUAAAGAAAUGAACAAGAUGUAUAGCUAGAGGCAGAAGGGGUGGUCAGGGACUCUCCUCUCUGACUUUUGAACAAGGACCCAAUUGACAAGAAGGAACUGGCCAUAAGAGCUGGGGGAAGAAUGUUCCACAUGGAUCUAGAUGUUGUCUAUUCAACCGUCCACACCAUUCAUCCAUCCGGUCAUCCACCCAUUGAUCCCAUCACCAAUUUGUUUCUGUUUCCCAUCCAUUCAUCUAUCUGUCUGUCCCUCAAACCCAAAGGCAUUAACCCAGUUCCUGCCAGAGAUGGGGGUCAGAGAGAACAAGAGCUGGCCCCUGCCCUCAAGGAGAGCUGCUCUGCAAGGGGAGGUUAGCAAUACACGUGGGGUCACAGGUGCACCAAGCCCCACAGGGCGGAGGAUGUCCACCGUCGGGGCACACAGCUGGCUGGAGCGGGACGAGGCCUCCAGGAAGAGUAGCCAAAGGCCCCGAGGUGGGCCAGAUGCGGCCCUCAUCACGGCACGCUUCCAUGACGAACGCCAUUCCCCGGGCCUUUGGCUCUCUGGGCUCCUGCAAUCCCUCCCUCAGGCCCCCACACCCCUCUGCCUGCUCCUGGUCUCCACGAGACUGCUGCUCCCCCCAGACUUCUCCCACCUUCUUCUUUCCCUCCCCCCUCCCAAGAAGCCUGUUGCAGGCCUGGGAGCGGCAGCAGCAGGAGGAGUUGCAGCGGGCCAAGCUGCGGAGGGCCCGGGAGCAGCGGGUACAGCAGCAGGUGGCUUGCUGCCUGGCGGCCUAUGCGCCCAGAGGGAGCCGGGGGCCGGGCGCCACCCAGUGCAAGCUGGAGGAGCUGAGGUAGGAAGCCUGGCGCCGGGAAGGGGCUGGUGGGGAGAGGGCAGGGGAGGCAGCGCGAGAGAUGUCAGAUGUCAGACGAAGGACAGAGGAGAUGCAGACCUCCCCUCCCCUCAGGGCUGAGUGAGUCUCCGCAACCAUCUUCCAGGCCAUUUGGCCGUGCUUUACCCGUGAAGACACCGAGGCACUGGCGGAGGAGGAGCUGAGGCGAGGUCACCGGCUAGUAAGACCAAUCCCGGCAGCUGGCAAAAGUUCACGGUUAAAAUGUUCUGCCUGCAUUCCCACUCGUUCUAAUCUUCUCCGAUUUCAAAAGCCGGGGAUGCUUCUUACAAAAAAACUCCGCCAUUACCGGAAUAGUUAACAUGGCACGUAAAGCGAGCCUGGGAUCUCACUCCUGGGGACAACCGUCCUUUGCCAGCAGGUGAAGAGUCAUCUGUUUCAUUCUCUCCCUACAUUUUCACGCUUAAAAAGAAACGGGCACAUGUGUAUUUAAAAGUUUUUUAGACUCAUAACAGGACCAUGAAGGGGGCACUAGCAUCAGAACGAUAAUUCGACAGAGGAGGAAACUGAGCUCAGGGAGCUUAAAUAAUUGGCCAAAGGUCACAAGGGAGCUGCACAGCUAGGAUUCCAACUUGGGCAGCCAUUGAGUCGCGCUGCUACGUGGUCCCGGAGCGCUCGGAUACCCAAUCUGCUGAUAAAGUGCGCCACGAUGGUCCCCCCAAAGCCCUACCUAGUGAAACAGAGAACACAAAUAAAUAUGGCCACCAGGGCCGUUGACAUUGAGCACCUACUGGGUGCACCUGGCAGCAGGGUAGAUCUUUCCACAACUCAUCUCCUUUCAUCCUGGGAGAAGGGCUAGGUCAAGGUUGAGUGGAGUGCUGCGGAGAGACCAGAAGGUCUCUGUCCUGCAGCGACCCACCAAGGACUCAGUGGGCUUCUGAUCACCUACUCUUUGAGGCUCAGUCUUAUCAUCCCCAGUUCCGAAGAUGAGGAAAGCGGGACUCUAAGAAGUCAAGGGUGUUUUAAAGGAAUCCUUGGCCAGUGAUGGAGGAGAGGCCUUCUCCGCGCCAGACCUCAAGUUCAUUGUUUUUUAAAUAAGGCAGGAAGCCUAAAGUUCAGAACUCCAAGGGACGGACGUCAGUGAGAGGAGUGUUUCCCACACACCUUUUAUUUUCUACUUGAGGGCAGAUAUAUGCCACGGGCUCUCUCGGCCCUUACAGCCCGUGAAGUUUGCUCUCUCCGAGCCGCAAAGACUCUGCCCUGCGCAGGAGAGGCUGGCUCAACUCAGGUCACCCGGUGGUAGGGAGGCUAUGUGACUUCCUUUCCUUCCCAGAUGCUGGACAGGGCUGACAUCCACUCACAAGGCUUCCUUUCUGCCUGGGGCUCCAAGAAGUGGACUUCCUCUCCAUUCUAACGAACAGCCUCAAGAAUCAAGCAGGAAAAACAUGCAAGACCUCACAGGCGGCACAGAGACCGAACGCAAGCUGGCGCUCCCCACCCCCACCUCCUGUAGCUGCUGAAAUGACCUCUUGAAUGCCGAAGACUCCAUCUUGCAAUAACUCCUGUUCCUGGCCAGGGGUUUUCAAAUUCAUCUCUUCUUCUCGAAUGGAGGAAGCCUCCUUCCCUGGCACGUAGCCAAAGAUCCUGGCCGUGCCAGGCAGGGUUCUUCCACGGGGCCCCGGCACAUUUGCUAGAGGUCCCAAGUGGGUCCUGGGGUCUUGUCUGCUUCUCCCCUCCCGUCCUGUGUGUGGGUGCUGCCACCAAUUCCCGAGACCUCUCCUGCGUGCUUCGCAGGAUUCCUGGUCUCGGGUGUUAGUACAGCCAGGGGGCCCCUCCUGCUGCCAGGAUACCCGGCUUGAAGAGCAGACACAUUUCAGACAAGUGCACAGACUGGGUUUUUGUAAAUGGAUUUGUGCUUCCCCCGUGCAAUCCUGGUAUUUUCGGGAUGCAGUCUGUCAUCUGCAACAUAUUUCUUUUGUCCCUCCCUCCCAUUUCCCAAGCCGCGUGCUUAUAAAAACCACAGAGAAUGGCGGCAAGCUUGUGUAAUCCCUGCCAUGGCGCAGAGGAAACCGAACCCAGAGCCCAGACUGGGGCCUUGCCCAAAGCCACAGCCAACGGCCGCCGCUUCUUCCUCACAGGUGCAGUGUGAGGGGGCGCAGAGGUGUAAACGCAGGGAGGGGAGAGGCCCUGCAAGCUGAUGCCCAGUUGCUCCGAAGCCGGAGCUGGUCCCUCCGCCUGGGGGUGGCCGGGAUGCUAGAUGAGCUCCCGGCUGCGCAGCCUGCAGACUUGGGCUCGGGGCUCAGUCUCUCACUUCCCAGCUGUGCGACCUCGGACAAGUCCCUCAACCCCCCUGGGCCUCCGGCUCAUCAUGGGCAAAAUGGAGCAAAUAAUUUCCACCCCGCUGACCUCAGGAGGAACCCGGGGCGAGGCUGGGAAUGAAAUGGCUUUGCAAGGUAAGGGCGGGGAGGACGUCACGUCCCUAGAGAGGAGGAGUGGACUCGGGACCGGGGAUGGGUUGUGCUCGCGGCUGGCUGCCCACAGGUCCGUCUCCCUGCAGGCGCCAGGAGCGACAGCGCUUUGCUCAGUACCAGGCAGAGCUGCAGGGCAUUCAGCACAGGGUGCAGGCCCGGCCCUACCUGUUCCAGCAGGCCAUGCAGGUGAGGCCUAGCCCCUGGAUGAGCAUCAGUCUCCCCGAGAGCAGCGCUUCUCAUUGGCUGAGUGCAUAGGGAUGUAAGUGAGAGUGGGCCCCCUUAGACAGGACCCCGGGGCCACCGCCCAUCCGGAAGCCCUGGGACCUUCACACGCGGCACCACCCGUCCCCGGCAGCCUGCAGAGCAGGAACGCUUCUCUUUCUUCAGGCCAACGCCCGGCUCACGGUGACCCGGCGCUUCUCCCAGGUGCUGUCAGCACUGGGACUGGAUGAGGAGCAGCUACGGGCUGAAGCAGGAAAGGGGAACCCAGAGGGCGCCUCCGGGAAACCCAGGUGAGGCCGUCUAGCUAGCCAAGGAACUGGCUCUGCCCAGCUACGGGGAGAAGGGAAGUGGGGGGGCCACCGCCAGUACUCUGGGCCCUACAGGGUCUCCCCUAGCUGUGGCCCUGCCCAUCUCCAGCCUGGGCUGGACCAUCUGGGAAGGAGCUGAGAAAACUCACCAGCAGCCAUGUUGAUCCGCCCUGGAUCUAAGUCCUGGUGGCCCAACCCCUCGGCCCGAAGGACACUGCCUAGCUCUAGCAGUCAAUCGGUCCUUCCCUAGGCCCUGUCCCCCAGGUCACCCGAGGAAGGCAGGACCGGGGUGAUGUUCUCCAGAUCCCAGUAAAGAAACUAAGGACCUGAGGGGCAGGGUCCUGUCCAAAGACACAGGAGCAAAUAAGCAGCAGAGCCGGGCUGGGAAUCUGUGGCCAAAUGAGUGGCCACACACCAAGACCCCAUUGUGGGGUGGGGCCCCACAAGUCACCCCCUGUAUACUGUCCCUUGUGCUUUAGAACAAGGUGAUACACAGCAGGGAUUAUGAGGCCCAUGCAUAAGGACACUGAGGCUUCAGGAGGGGAAAUCACUCGCUCAGGGUCUCACAGCAUAGGAGCCAGAUUUGAACCCACAUGUCAAUAAUGGCCAUUCCCCUCCUACAGCCCAGGUCUCCUUGGGCAUGGGGGUGGGGAGCUAGAAACCCAUGGUCUCUACCUAUGUCUUCGCCUUUAAGGAGCCACAGGUCAAUGAGGGUAAGGAUGGAGCACUCUUCUGAAAGCCCCCCAAAGGCAGAACCCACUGGAAGCCAGCCCAACAGGCACUCCACUCCAAGCCCAGACUGAGCCCAGCUCCUAAGAUAAUGAUUAAAGGCUUUAUGG